GGACCCGGCACAAAAACACAAAUUUCUGUUUUUCUUUUUCUUUUCAGAGAAAUAUUCUCACCACGAAGCCCAGGCUGAAGUAGAAAUCAAUACAGUGAAGGGAUAGCCUGUAUCUCACUGACUUCCAGCUGUCUUUGCCUCACCAAUGGUGGGAUAAAACUUGUUUCCCACCAAUCUGUCAAAUUCCUAUUUAGAACGCUAUAUUAACUUGACAGUGCAUAUUUCUCAGUUGAAAAAGUAAUGCUGGGUAAAAAUUUCAAUGUUAAAUGUUAGUGUUUACAACUAUGCGCAUGGAACUCAAAAAUGCUAAUUUUGGAUGUGAUUUCAAACAAGCUGUUCUCACCCACAGAUGCUAGACUGCUGCAAUCCUAGAACAUCAUUUCUGAGUACAAAGCACUAGUCCUCCUUGAUUCCUAGUCCCACCUAUCUUGCUUUGCUAUUGGCCAACAGUUCUUAUCGACAAAUACACAAGACUUCGCCCAACAUAAAGCCAAGUGCCCUUCCCAGAUGCUAGACUGCUGCAAUCCUAGAACAUCAUUUCUGAGUACAAAGCACUAGUCCUCCUUGAUUCCUAGUCCCACCUAUCUUGCUUUGCUAUUGGCCAACAGUUCUUAUCGACAAAUACACAAGACUUCGCCCAACAUAAAGCCAAGUGCCCUUCCCAGGUAUGAAAAUUAUGAACCAUAACAAUGGUCUGCACUGCGUGAUAGCCUGAAGGCUGCAAGAGCAGCACACAGACAUUGGUGGUAACCAACAGCUUAUAAUUGGACUUCAGGAGGAAUCAACCACAGGAAAGUCAUGUCUGCAUCUGAAAGCCUAGCCUGUUUCUGAGCAUUAGGCAAGGAUAUAUCUUGAAGGAGAACCUAAAUGUACAAUGCAUGACUCACAUGAAUAUCCAUAUAAGAUUGAUUUUCCCACUAGUAGCAAUUUUUAUAUAUAGAAAGUCUUCUCAUAGCUAUAGCAGGAUAAUUCUGAGAUCUUUCUCGUUGGAAGUCUAUAGAAUUAUUCCUAGUAGAACAGAAUGCGGGAAAACUGAAUUGUGUCCCACAGGAUCAUUCUCUACCGUCUCCUCCUUCUCCACUUUCUAG